rnacentral:rRNA from 1 species
AUUGAACGCUGGCGGCAUGCCUUACACAUGCAAGUCGAACGGUAACAGGUCUUCGGAUGCUGACGAGUGGCGAACGGGUGAGUAAUACAUCGGAACGUGCCUAGUAGUGGGGGAUAACUACUCGAAAGAGUGGCUAAUACCGCAUGAGAUCUACGGAUGAAAGCAGGGGAUCGCAAGACCUUGUGCUACUAGAGCGGCCGAUGGCAGAUUAGGUAGUUGGUGGGAUAAAAGCUUACCAAGCCGACGAUCUGUAGCUGGUCUGAGAGGACGAUCAGCCGCACUGGGACUGAGAGACGGCCCAGACUCCUACGGGAGGCAGCAGUGGGGAAUUUUGGACAAUGGGCGCAAGCCUGAUCCAGCAAUGCCGCGUGCAGGAUGAAGGCCUUCGGGUUGUAAACUGCUUUUGUACGGAACGAAAAGCCCCGGGUUAAUACCCUGGGGUCAUGACGGUACCGUAAGAAUAAGCACCGGCUAACUACGUGCCAGCCGCCGCGGUAA